rnacentral:rRNA from 1 species
GACGAACGCUGGCGGCGUGCUUAACACAUGCAAGUCGAACGGAAAGGCCCUGCUUUUGUGGGGUGCUCGAGUGGCGAACGGGUGAGUAGCACGUGAGUAACCUGCCCUUGACUUUGGGAUAACUUCAGGAAACUGGGGCUAAUACCGGAUAGGAGCUCCUGCUGCAUGGGGGGGGUUGGAAAGUUUCGGCGGUUGGGGAUGGACUCGCGGCUUAUCAGCUUGUUGGUGGGGUAGUGGCUUACCAAGGCUUUGACGGGUAGCCGGCCUGAGAGGGUGACCGGCCACAUUAGGACUGAGAUACGGCCCAGACUCCUACGGGAGGCAGCGGUGGGGAAUAUUACACAAUGGGCGGGAGCCUGAUGCGGCAACGCCGCGUGCGGGAUGACGGGCUUCGGGUUGUAAACCACUUUCGCCUGUGACGAGGCGUGAGUGACGGUAAUGGGUAAAGAAGCACCGGCUAACUACGUG